GGGAAAAGUUAGGACGAUUCUAAGGGCCCCUGGCUGACGGGCCCCGAAUUUUUUUUAUUUUCAUAGGGCCCAAAAUUAUUGGCGGCGCCCCUGACCAUAUCUGACAGCCGUCAGAAUAUGUGACACCACCGUAAUUGCUUCAUGAAGGAGUUAAACUUCAAAAUAUUGUUUGGCGUAGUUACGUCAUCCCUUCACACUAAUCUGGACACGUUUUCUUAUUUGGGCCAUCACAUAGCCAGUACCACAGAGGUCACCACAAAGCGCGUAAACUGGUUGAAAUACAUGUGUCUCACGGCCAAUGCGUGAGAGUUGGCAGCCCUGCCGCAUGUAAGUGCAUCCAAUGUAGGGGCAAACGGAUUCAGAGCGCAGUAACAGCGCUUUACUGCGGUUUGCUUCGGUUUGAAUUGCAUCCAAUGUAUGGAGAAACGGAUACAGCGCGCCGUAACUAGACUUGCGGGUUGCAUCGGUUUUGAGUGUGAUUGAGUUUCUGCAAUUCAUUAUACCCUUUUUCAUCUGUCAAUUAAUAGGUGAAACAUUGCGCCAGUGUCGAAGCAAUUAGCCUCCAGGUCCCGUUCAUUUUUUCGCCGCUAUAGUUGUUUUUCUGGACAGUAGCCUACAGGCUGCCCUAUGGAUGCACAAAUAUUCAAAGAGUUGCUGGAUUAUCUUGUUGAAGGACAAUAUCCAGAACAUUCUGACAAACACCAGCGCUUCACCAUUCGAAGAAGGGCUGCAAACUACUGCGUCGAAGAUGAUCAAUUACAUUACAUGAGACACAAGGGUUCUGUCAAAGAAGUCAAAGCCAAAGUUCUGUGUGGUGCAGCCGACGCACGCUCCAUAUUUAGAGAAUUUCACACCAGUGAAAUAGGUGAACACUGCGGCCAAAUUAAAACAAGGGAUGCCAUUUCUCUUAGGUGUUAUUGGCCUUCCAUGACAUCUGACAUCGAAAAAUGGGUAUCAGAAUGCACUGUUUGCCAGCAGAACAGAGCUGAAAUAAAGGUUGCCACUGAUUACAAGGCUAUUAAGGUAAAUGUUUUUUUGAUCACUUGAGCUUUAUUGUAUCAUUAAAGUAACAUUUACUACAUUUCCAAUGUUAAUCUAUGACAUAAUCACAACUAAGAAACAACAAACC